rnacentral:rRNA from 1 species
UACGUAGGGUGCAAGCGUUGUCCGGAAUUAUUGGGCGUAAAGAGCUCGUAGGCGGUUUGUCGCGUCUGCUGUGAAAACUCGGGGCUUAACUCCGGGCCUGCAGUGGGUACGGGCAGACUAGAGUGCGGUAGGGGAGACUGGAAUUCCUGGUGUAGCGGUGAAAUGCGCAGAUAUCAGGAGGAACACCGGUGGCGAAGGCGGGUCUCUUGGGCCGUAACUGGACGCUGAGGAGCGAAGCGUGGGGAGCGAACAGG